rnacentral:rRNA from 1 species
UACGAAGGUGGCAAGCGUUGUUCGGAUUCACUGGGCGUACAGGGUGUGUAGGCGGUUCGGUAAGCCCUCUGGGAAAGCUCCUGGCUCAACCGGGAAAGUUCAGGGGGGACUGCCGGGCUAGAGGACGGGAGAGGAGCGCGGAAUUCCCGGUGUAGCGGUGAAAUGCGUAGAUAUCGGGAGGAAGGCCGGUGGCGAAGGCGGCGCUCUGGAACGUACCUGACGCUGAGACACGAAAGCGUGGGGAGCAAACAGG